CAGACAACCAAAGCCGUCCGUGCCACCAUCACCUCCCCAAAUCCAGUCCCCACUCUCGCACAGUCGCACUCGCACCCUAAUCCCUCUCAGCCUCUCCCACGCGCCGCCGCCGCCGCCGCCUUGGCUCCUCCGCGCGGUAGGCUGCAACCUGCAGCUCGUCGACGCCGGCUUUGAUUCCGAUCGUCUCACCCUCUCCUCUCCUCGCCGCACCAGAUCCGCAUCGGCAUCGUUGGCUAGGCAUGGAGAAUGGGGAGGGAGGAAUUGUACUCGUGCCUGUCGGUGCCUCGGGGUGGAGUAGGAUUAAUCAGAGUUGGGGGGUGCUCCUCGUAUCGUUGUCGGCUACUCGGCCCUCUGACUUUAGCAGUUGAAGGUGCUGCCGGCGGCGAGGUGGUCGAAACCUCCUCGGCGGUCAAUGCUCCCCUCCACCACGCCCAGAGAUGCGCAUCUCUACCGUGAGGGAGGAGGGCACGCCAGCUGAGGAGACAGGGACGGCGACCGCAACGGCCAUCCUGGUGGAGGUGGUAGUGUACGAAGGAGCCGUGCAGCACCAUAUCCUCACUGUCCCUGCAGUUCCCCACACGAGCCUGUUGCCUCUAUUGCUGUCCUGCGACGCCAAGACAUGAAAAGAGGCGCCGACACCCUGCGAUGGCUACUUCUCCGUCUGAGUCUGCGACCUGCCUCUUGCUCCACUUUGGUACCACCACCACCACAUUCCCAUGGCCAGUGCUGGCCUCUCAUCCUCCCUACCUGCCACUGCUGCUAGAGUGCUCGGUAAGUUCUUCCUAAAUAUACCGACGACGGGUGCUCAUUGCCAAAUCUUCAGCACUAAAUAUUAUUAGGUUGGUAGAGUAAUAAUCUCCUUUCAGCACUUAUCUUUCAGAUCUGUGUGUACUGCAUGGCAUUAUUUUUCCUAGGUGAGAAGUGAUAUUAAACUUAUCUAAAGCCAUCGAGCAACAAACUUAUACCACUUCCUAAUUUUGUCCAGCUGUUCAUAUGUCACACUCUUUAUAUCUGAAGCUGUUUUUGUAAAGGCAGUGUUCUAUGAUUAUAGAAGUAACUAUUUAUUCAUUUUCUGGUAUAUGUAUGACUCCAUGUUAGCUUGACCAACAAUAAAAUGGAUUUACACUUAUGAAUAUUUUCACUGUAUUCUUUUUCUUGAUAGGAGCGCAAUCAACAAUAGAACCGUGUUGAAUGUACCAGACAAUGGUAUGGCCAUGCAGGUCCCAUGAAUAUAUUCUUUUUGCUACCAGCUAGAGGGAUCUGAUGUACACCAGUUCCAUCAGAUACUCACCUGCGCUGUUCAGGUUUUCCUAGUCAAUCGGCUUAUUUGCUAUGUUAUGAGGAGUGGUCAAACUGCCUAUGGUGCCGUUCAUAUGAUGUUUUCUUCUGUUUGCAAGAGUUCCUGGUUGCCCAAGCUUGUUGGUAGAGGAAGUAAUGCUCAAAUUCAUCUCAAUUGUAGCUGUUUCUGAGAUUGGUAUUUCAAUUGUUCCAUAUUAGAUUGUCAUCAAAUUGAUUAACUGAACAUGGAUGUCAAUGCAUUUCAAUCCAUUCUUCUGUGUUGAUGUGUGAUUUGGAUGCUGCUGUUCUGGUGCAAAUAAUAAAUGAAUAAGCAAAUAUUGCACUAUCAA